UCAACCCUUCCACCCCUUGCUAUCUACAAGGACUUUGUUUCCAUUUUUUUCUUUUUCUCAUAUUAAUCCCAUUCCUUUCACAUGCACUUUUAAAGCAAGUACGCAGUGUCCACGGUCAGACGAGGGCCUUCACAGGGUCACUGGUGAUGUGGAAAGAACCAGACUUGACAAUGGAAGGAAGGAAAACCCCUUCUGUGAAUCUCCUCUUGCAACUAGCUUCGCAGACAAGAACCUGUUUCCAGGUCGGGGAUUUAGCUCAGUGGUUCCGCCGCCUGUCUGUAAGCAAGGUCCCGAGUUUGAUCCCCAGUACCAAAAAAAAAAAGAACCUGUUUGCUCAUCUUGGAACCGAACCAAGACCUCAUUAUUCCCUACCUCAGGUCCGUGCAUGAAGAGAAAGAUGAAGGCGCUGGAGGGGACAAGUGGCCAUGCACGUGCACGGUGUUUGCCUCCACUUCUACCAUUCGUACCAUGGGCCUGCUACUUAUAAUGUGCAUGGAGUUGAGAGUUCUUUACUUUUGCAUUUCUCACAGGAAUCAUCAAAUCAUAGCAGAUGUUUGAUGUCAAGUCCCUAAUCAGAAACCCAACUCCAAAUUUGUAACUUGGAUCUCAUGAUAAGAAAUAUAAUCCAUUUUGCUUUACGAUGAUCCAAGUUAUGUGACGUUUUCUAGAAAAAUUGUAUGGUGAUGACUGAGGAUUGUGUCACUGCGAUAUUGAUUAUAUUGUCAGGAAAAGCAAGUAUGAAAUACACAUUUGGGCUUCACCUUACACUGCACAUGUUUCCUGAAACUCAGCCCCAUUACCAUUUCAGAGGCUCUGAUCUUCACUUCUGCUUGAUCACCCUUCAAGGGUGGCACUCCCAAAAUGUCAGCUCUAAAUUUCUCUGCCCUUUAGCUUCUCUGACAAGUAAGUUAACAGUCUGCAGAUAAAUCCUUCAGUGUCCUCAGGAAUCCUGUGAGAAGUUGCACACCAUCCUUUCUAGGGGGUAGCAAACCCCUAGGAGCCCAGGCUGUCCUACAUGGGGAAAAAGCACCCCCCGAAAUCUUUCUCUCUUAUUUUUCCCAGAAGAGUAGGAGGAAGAUCUAAAAUAGUUAGGUCUGGCAGCUUAAUCUGGGUUGGCUGCCUCUGCCAGCAAUCUGUAAAAAUGUGUUUUUCAAGGAUAAGAAGUUUGGGCCUUGGGCCAACACUCAUGUCUGUCAUCUGCAAGGAGAUAAACAAUCCCUUUAACCCAGCACUACGCUGUUUACCCCUGUGCUUAAACAGGAGCACCAUGCCUUCCACAGGCUGGGCCGAGGCUGCCCUGAGUUGAUCCUCUUUCCACGCAGAGCCUCCUGAGUCUGCCCUCUGGCUGAACACAGCAGAGCCAGCCUUUUGUAAGAUGAAACGGUAGACUAGCAUCCAUUCCCCGUGUCAGUAUUUAGUCUUUUCACAUUGCCUAACGGAUGGGGACUUGAAGUACUCCUGUUUUUAACGCCUGCAAAGGUCAUUCCCUAAGAAUCAGAAGAAUAUAUACACGUCCAAGGGUACCUGUGACUGCCAAGCACUGAGAAUCUUUGGGACAGGAAUUCUUCAGUAGAGUCAGGCGUGGUGGUGCCCACCUGUAAUCCUAGCAUUUGGGAGGCUGAGGCAGGAGGAUUGCUUCAAAGUUGGAGGCCAGCAUGGGCUACAUAGGCAAUUCAAGCCCAGUCUGAACUACAUAGCAAGAACUUGUCUCAAAACAACAGCAGAGCCAGGGAUUUAGUUCAGUGGUGCCACCGCCUGCCUUCCCGAGUUAAAUCCCGGGUACAAAAAACAAACACACCUGCCACUUAUUCAUGCAAAACUUCACUUCAGCAUAGAUCAGCUAGAGCCAAAAUACUCUGGGUGUCCUUAAGGGAACAUCCAUUAAGCCAUGUUUCCUGUUUCCUGUAGAACACAACUUGAUCCAUCCCUGCCCUGUUUCUCUUUCUCUGCCGCCCAGGGAAGCUAUUUCCUCAGUGGUGGAAAAGCAGAUGGUCCUAACUCCUUCAGCCACUGCACAAGGCAAACGCUUCAGAGGAGGCUGGGCAUGGGCUAGGCUUGUCCUCCCAGGCCCACCUGGCCUCGAGGCAAAUGGACAGGCCUAGCUGAGAGAGAACAGUCACCUCCCCCCAGCCCACUUCUCCAACAGAGUACCGGGAUCUUAGGAGGACGGCCCUGUAGCUGGGGUGGGGUAAGAAAAAUAAGAGAAGCCAUAGAAUCUGCUUAAUUCCACCUGAAGUUUGUUUGUUUGUUUGUUUGUUUGUUGUUCCGGGCAUCGAACUUGGGACCUUGAGCAGGCGCCGGAACCACUGAGCUAAAUCCCCAACCCUCCACCCGAAGUUUGGACACGAAAGCUGUAGCUUUGAACUUGUAGUAUGGUGAGCACUGCAGCCAACCCCAGCGACCCAGCCAGGAACCCUCGCUUCCCAUUCAUUGCUUGGGCAACACCUGAAAGGAAAGUUUCUUCACCAAGCAGCCAGCCUGGGCUUCUCUGUGGGGAAUUUCACACGCACACGCAUGCACAAACACACACGCACAUGCACACACGCACACACCCUGCACCAGAGAACACACAUCGCUUUGCAUAAGUGUGAACCUUAAGGGACUCCUGCCUCUUAAAUGUACUGCAUCUUUCUCUCGUGUUCAGCGCUACUUUUAAGACUAAUAGUUGUUUUGCUAAUGAAUUUCUGCCCAUUUUCAAAGUUUAGCUCCAGGGCCUCCUUCUACCCAUCCUGCAGUCCUUUGUCACCUCUGUGCUACAGCUGAAGAGCACAGCCUUGCAAUUAUCUAUGGACUUCCGUCUCUCUGCCAGGCCCUGAGCAGAUUCUCAAGGGCAUGCACUGCAUGCUGUGGGGCUUCCAUCCCCAAAACAAGGCCUCAGCCAUCAAUUCAGGUACAUUUUUCUCAACUCUUUUUUUAAGGUACUGAGGAUAGAACUGAGGGCCUCUGCACUAAGCUACAUUCCCCACCACUUUUCUUUAGUUUUUUGAAUUUUUUUUUUAAAUUUUGAGACAGGGUCUCACUAAGUCAUUAAAUGAUCCAGGCUGGGCAUGAACUUGGAUCCUAUUUCAGCAUCUCCAGAGAGCUGGGAUUCCAGGCAUGAGCCACCACCCCAGCCCUCAGCCAUCUCACCUUAAUUUUUAUGGCUUCGAUUCUCUUACUUAGAGCUCAUCUAUGUCACUGAAUGGUGAUGCUGAGUCAUAUGGGGUUAGAAACCAGUGCUGACAUGCUGAUACCCUGGCUACUGCUGCUUCUGGGAGUAACAGACUGUUUUCUCUGACUCAGGAGUCUCAUGUCUUCUACCAGCAUCUGUGAAACUGGCGGGUCAACCACUUCACCCACAAGUCGGAUGGGGGAAGCAGGGUGUGGAGAGGCCUGGGGCCCUGGAGAACAGCAGCUCCGGGGCCUGCUCAGAGAGCACGGUGACUGUGGCAGUGGUGGCCAGCAGCCCUGUCCUGCAAGCUUCUGCUCAAAUGUCACCUUACCAGAGUGGGUCCCCUGGCCAUCCCGUCUCACAGGGCAUCUGCUGUCACCUCUGUGGCUUUAUCUUGAUUUCCUGUCCUUCACACUUAUACCACAUGUCAUUUCCUGUAUUUAUUUGUUGUCUGCAUUUCCCUACAUGACUGUGAAUUCUGUUGGAGAAGGGGCUUCAGUUUGCUGCUGUGAUGCUGCCACUUAGGACAGUGCUCUGCACAGAAGGUUAGGCUGUCAAACCAGAAAGUUCUCUCGGUCCCUUCCAAGUCCUCACCCCCAGGUCACCACUAUUCUGAUGUCUAGGAUUAUCUUUGCUGAUCCCUGAACUUCAUAUAAACAGGAUGUGUUCAUAUGAACAUACCAAACAGAUGUCCUUGUCCGUGUCUUUGCAUUGCUGUGUGUUUCAGGAGCUUGCUCUUCUUUUAUAGCUGUAAUAUUCCAUUUAUGGAUAUACCACCACUUAUGGAUAUACCACAGUUUGUUUAUCAUUCUUCUGUUGAUGAGCAUUUGUGUUGUUUAGAAUAAAGUUGCAAU